GCAAGUCGAGGGGUAACAGGGAAAAGCUUGCUUUUUUGCUGACGACCGGCGAACGGGUGCGUAACGCGUAUAGAAUCUGCCUUGUACAGGAGGAUAGCCUUUAGAAAUGAAGAUUAAUACUCCAUAAUAUUGAGAAGCGGCAUCGCUUUUUAAUUAAACAUUUAUGGGUACAAGAUGACUAUGCGUCCUAUUAGCUAGAUGGUAAGGUAACGGCUUACCAUGGCAACGAUAGGUAGGGGGUCUGAGAGGAUUAUC
rnacentral:rRNA from 1 species